ensembl:lncRNA
GUCUGUGAAUUUGCUUCUAUACCUAUUUUAUUGAAGAGAAAAGGGGUUUGGAGAGGGUUUGAAAUUUAUCCCAGGGAGGAAGUGACAGCGCACAGUCUGUGGUAUAUCAUGCCUCCUCUGUGGCACAUGACCACUGCCCAGCCAGGGGAAUUAGCAGCCCACUAUGACACAACUGUGGUGGUAUGAUAACUUGAGGGAUGUAUCACUAUUUAGAGGUGGUUUCACUGUGACCGCUUGGACAUCACUUUGACCAAAUGAGGAAUGUUUCCUGUGGUUUCUGAAGUUACCUGACUUGGACAUGUCUUUUAUGUAGCCCAAGCUAUUGCUAAUUUGUGAUUCUCCUGCCUCUGUCUCUCAGGAACUGAUUGUGGACGUGUGCUGACAUUCCUACUGCUCAGCUUCCUAGCUCAGGUUGGUGGGGGAUGCAGCCAGAGAGUGAGCUGAGCAGGGACCCCUGGUCCCUGAGUUGCUGGUUCACAUCCUGUCUGCAGCUGGCAUCCCUGGGGAGGGAAGCUGAGCAGGAUGGCUCACCUAUAAAGUCUCCAGUCUGUGCAAAGGGGGUCUAGAACUUGUUUAUCUUCCUGCUCAUGGACAUGGUGUGGGGAUAGUGCAAGUGGAUGCCUAGUAGAACAUGGCAGAAAUCUCAGUAUUGCUAUUCUUGGCCUUGGGGUGUGGGGAGCUUGCCUGUCCUAGGAAAUCUAGAAGGAGGUAUCAGCCAUGUCUUGCUCCCCAGCUCCCUUGAAUUUACACUCCUUGAGAGAGUAGAUUUGACAGGAACACUAAAUUACUUUGGUCUUGAUCUCCCGAGAUGGGCAUAUCAACAGUUAAGUCAAAACUUAUUUAUUAUUUUGGUUACAGAAGCACUGGAGAAUCCAUGCCAGAUGAAUCUUUAGAAAUUAUUUGCUGUCCUCUUCAAGGUAUUUGAAAAAUAGCAAUGGAGGUGAUUUGUUUGGAGCUGUUGGGAAGAAGUGUGGUGAAUAUCUGAACUGGUGACCUGUUGGAAGCCUAGAGCACAAGAAGAAGCCAGGAACAGCUGGUUAGUAUAAAACGAAGGCUGUGUGAAAGGAAGUCCCAAGUGCAGAUUAGGAAAAAGAAUGUAUCUUGACAUCUUAAAGCAGUAAGCCAGGAAAAUCUGUCUUUAAUAGCACAUUCUGUGGGAAAAGUCACUACACUCAGAGGUUUGAGCAAUCACUCAGAGCAAAACAGUACAGUUUUUAAAGGAUGGGUCUUCCAAGAGCACAUUCUAAAAUCUAUGGUGUGGUAGGGCGUUAAAGGACUUCAAAAAUAUCAUGCCAGGAAAACACGGGGACGCCAUCUGAGUCGCCUCUGCUGGCCUUAUGUGGCCACAAGGUGUCUGUCUGUUUCUUGGCUGAUAAUGGAGAAGUGAAUGAUUCUGGAAAACUUUUUUUUUUUUUAGUAAAACUUUAAAAAUGAGAAGCAGAUGAAGUGUCAGAUGGCUCUGAGUGGCCUGAACCAUUUUCUCUAGGAACAGAUGAAAAGUGAAGCCUGUGGUCUCUGGAGACCCUGGGCCUGGCACUGUGCGGCUUAUUUGAUCUAGCUUCCCAGCAGGCUCUGGGCUAUUGCUUUCAGGGGUGGAAUGGAGGAAAGGAUGAGAGUUGAUGGCUUCCUGGAAGAAGCCAUAGGAGGAGGCUACAAUUAUUCUAAGCAAAAAUAAUUUAAGCCUUGUCUUGGGUUUCGAAUCCUGGAUAAGGACUUUGUCUUAGAUGGAACAUGUGGCUUGGGGACAGGCUCAACGUCCUGUCAUGUGGAACCUGAGCCUCACCGGCCCACCAAUCAUUGAAUAUCACUCUUGAAGCGAUCAAACGGAUCUGCUCCACACACUUGUGGAUUCAUUCUUGCCUCUUUAAGGUUAGCUACAGUUUCGAAAAACUCAAAACUUCUUGUAAAAAUGUCAAGCUGCUGAAGGAAUAAUCCUUAGUGUGGGUGUUUACCCAAAAGACCUUUAAACCAAGUGAAUGUGGCUGCGGGUUGAGCUUUCUUUGACUCAUAAACCAAGUGAGUUAUGGGUUGAGUUCUCUUUCCCAUUGGACAAAUCUUUCUAAUAAAGGGAGUAUGGUAAGGGGACAGCCAUACUCUAUCAUCUUGUUAGUACUCUUCUGCUCCCCCGAGACUUAAAUAAGAAGUCUUCAAAAAAACAUCGUGACUGGGUUUCAUUAAGUUUUGACGCUUUUCCUAACUUUGCCAGAAAUCUUUGUUUGGGGAAAGUUUUCUAAUAGGGUGUUACUUUCCAUCACUAUGACACAUACCCGAGAUAACUUCUAAAAAGAUAGAGUUUAUAAUUUUGGCUCGUAGUUUCAGAAGAAUCGCUGGCCCCAUUGCUUUGGGUCUGUGGAGUGUUAGUGCUGGAGCAUGUGGUGAGACACAAGCACUUCAAGACAGAAGCAAAAAAAGGUACUGAAGUUCCC